rnacentral:rRNA from 1 species
CCUACGGGUGGCAACAGUGAGGAAUAUUGGUCAAUGGACGCAAGUCUGAACCAGCCAUGCCGCGUGCAGGAAGACGGCUCUAUGAGUUGUAAACUGCUUUUGUACGAGAGUAAACGCAGAUACGUGUAUCUGUCUGACAGUAUCGUACGAAUAAGGAUCGGCUAACUCCGUGCCAGCAGCCGCGGUAAUACGGAGGAUUCAAGCGUUAUCCGGAUUUAUUGGGGUUAAAGGGUGCGUAGGCGGUCGGAUAAGUUAGAGGUGAAAUCCCGAGGCUCAACUUCGGAAUUGCCUCUGAUACUGUUCGGCUAGAGAGGAGUUGCGGUAGGCGGAAUGUAUGGUGUAGCGGUGAAAUGCUUAGAGAUCAUACAGAACACCGAUUGCGAAGGCAGCUUACCAAGCUACUUCUGACGUUGAGGCACGAAAGCGUGGGUAGCAAACAGGAUUAGAUACCCGGGUAGUC